rnacentral:rRNA from 1 species
UACGUAGGGUGCGAGCGUUGUCCGGAAUUAUUGGGCGUAAAGAGCUCGUAGGCGGUGUGUCGCGUCGGCCGUGAAAACCUGCAGCUUAACUGUGGGCUUGCGGUCGAUACGGGCAUCACUGGAGUUCGGCAGGGGAGACUGGAAUUCCUGGUGUAGCGGUGAAAUGCGUAGAUAUCGAGAGGAACACCUGCGGCGAAGGCGGGUUGCUGGGCUGACACUGACGCUGAUGCGCGAAAGCCAGGGGAGCGAACGGG